UUUAUGGAGAGUUUGAUCCUGGCUCAGGAUGAACGCUGGCGGCGUGCCUAAUACAUGCAAGUCGAGCGAACGGACGAGAAGCUUGCUUCUCUGAUGUUAGCGGCGGACGGGUGAGUAACACGUGGAUAACCUACCUAUAAGACUGGGAUAACUUCGGGAAACCGGAGCUAAUACCGGAAAACCG
rnacentral:rRNA from 1 species